GACGAACGCUGGCGGCGUGCCUAAUACAUGCAAGUAGAACGCUGAAGGAGGAGCUUGCUUCUCUGGAUGAGUUGCGAACGGGUGAGUAACGCGUAGGUAACCUGCCUGGUAGCGGGGGAUAACUAUUGGAAACGAUAGCUAAUACCGCAUAAGAGUAGAUGUUGCAUGACAUUUGCUUAAAAGGUGCAAUUGCAUCACUACCAGAUGGACCUGCGUUGUAUUAGCUAGUUGGUGGGGUAACGGCUCACCAAGGCGACGAUACAUAGCCGACCUGAGAGGGUGAUCGGCCACACUGGGACUGAGACACGGCCCAGACUCCUACGGGAGGCAGCAGUAGGGAAUCUUCGGCAAUGGACGGAAGUCUGACCGAGCAACGCCGCGUGAGUGAAGAAGGUUUUCGGAUCGUAAAGCUCUGUUGUAAGAGAAGAACGAGUGUGAGAGUGGAAAGUUCACACUGUGACGGUAUCUUACCAGAAAGGGACGGCUAACUACGUGCCAGCAGCCGCGGUAAUACGUAGGUCCCGAGCGUUGUCCGGAUUUAUUGGGCGUAAAGCGAGCGCAGGCGGUUAGAUAAGUCUGAAGUUAAAGGCUGUGGCUUAACCAUAGUACGCUUUGGAAACUGUUUAACUUGAGUGCAAGAGGGGAGAGUGGAAUUCCAUGUGUAGCGGUGAAAUGCGUAGAUAUAUGAAGGAACACCGGUGGCGAAAGCGGCUCUCUGGCUUGUAACUGACGCUGAGGCUCGAAAGCGUGGGGAGCAAACAGG
rnacentral:rRNA from 1 species